CAGCCCAGUACCAACACUGCUGCCCCUGUCAUGCUGGCACAGGUCCUGGACUCCAACAUCUCUUCCCAGAACCCUGCCACUGCUAACCAGGUUCCUGUCAUCUGGGCCCAGAGUAACAACACGUUCAACCAGGUCCCUGAAGUCUACACCCAGGGCCCAGUUACCUCCACCCAGGGCAGCUCAUCUGCUGAGGAACACAGGCAGAAGGUCAUGGAUGCUGCCGAGGCUCUCCUGAUUCUGCAUAACUCCCGGGAGGCACUGCAAGAGACUAGCACCACCCCAGGUCCUGAUGGAGAGUGAAGACUGAGACUAUCCUGCCUGUCCUUGUCACCUCAGGCCACAAGCUCAGCUUCACUGACUGACAACUGGUCAUCAGGUUCGCACCUCAGUCUGUCACUAAGAGAGGAUGCUCACCCGUGCCUCGGAUACUGGACAUGAGAGCCUGAAUAAAGUAUCCC
rnacentral:lncRNA from 1 species